rnacentral:lncRNA from 7 species
GGGGAUGAAUCGACCGGAGAGAAUGAGAGAAGUCAGGGGACGAAUCGACCGGAGAGAAUGAGAGAAGUCAGGGGAGGAAUCGUCUCCGUCGUGCCGCCAUCUUCUCCACUAAGUUGACGCCGGUCGCUAGUCGCCGCUCUCGACGUCCCCCCUCCUCCGUCGUCCACUGCCCUUGGCACUACACCAGUGUCGUCCGCCGCAUCAUCGUUCCUGCUUCGCCGCAUACUCGCCGCGCCGUCGCCGACAAGGACCAUCCGGGCUGAGGCCUGCUAAAAUCUCCACCACUUCUCUGACUACUUCGUCAUCUCCUCCACGUUCGACAUAGAUACAAAUGUCUUUUCCCCCAUCGGAGCUGAGUACAUCCGAGUGUCCUCACUGAUAGGGUUUGCAAAUACAUAUGCCUUUUCUCAAUUGGAACUCCGUACACCUGCUCGCACUUGAUUAUUUCUCAUUGCAGCUAUCAGUCGUCCGUUCAUUUCACGUAGGACCUUCCUGUGCUUCCAGAUUGUUAAUGGCGUCCGGUCAAAAAUAAGUUAGCUAUACCAUCCUCACCCUCGGAGCUCCGUACAUGCGAGUGUCCUCGCUGUUAGGGUCCACAUGUACGGAUGUCUUUUUCCUUAUCAGAGCUCCAUACACCUGCUCGAAAUUGGUAAUUUCUCAUUGCAAGUAUCAGUCUUCCAUUGAGUUCGCGUACGAGGUUUUUGUGGUUCCACAUUGUUAAUGGUGGUCAGUCACAAAUAAGUUUGCUAUACCAUCAUCAACCUCUUGAACUUUAGUUACAUUUUGUCGGAAAACAUACUUUUGGUGUGUAGUGAUACUAAUUUUGUUGUGUCGUGCUACGUAUAGACCAUAUGCUUGCUACAAUUACUCUAAACAAUACAAGUGGUAGCUACAUUUUCUGUAUACAUGAUGUUCAUGGUAUCUCAUCAUUGAAUUAUCCAUGCAUUCGCUUCUUAUGGUUUCCUUCUUUUUAAUUUUCCAGUAAAUUCUAAUCUUAGUUUUGGAAACACAGGCUUCAUCAACUUCAACAUAUUUACUCAAGGGAAAAAAGGCUGCUUGAUUAAGAGUAAAGAAGAAGACGAAGAAAGCGAAGAAAUGAGAAAAGGCUGAAGCUUAGGUGAACCAUUAGGCCGAAGGGACUUUCGUAUUUUGGAAUGAACACUUAUGCAGUUAAACUACUGCUUAUUGUAAUAUAGCAUUUUACUCUUUGUAGUGUUUUCCCUUUUUUACUCUAAAUGCUUUUGUUGUGUGUGAAACCAAGUAUUUCUAGUAUUUUGAGGCGAAGGCGAAAAACACCUUGCCUUCUUUUCACUCGAAAAAAGCCCCCAAAGCUUACAC